rnacentral:rRNA from 1 species
AACGUAGGGGGCGAGCGUUGUCCGGAAUUACUGGGCGUAAAGGGCGUGUAGGUGGUAUGUGAAGUCGGAAGUGAAAACCCGGGGCUCAACCCCGGGCUAGCUAUCGAAACCAGCAUACUUGAGGACAGGAGAGGGAAGCGGAAUUCCCAGUGUAGCGGUGAAAUGCGUAGAUAUUGGGAGGAACACCAGUGGCGAAAGCGGCUUUCUGGCCUGUAACUGACACUGAGGCGCGAAAGCGUGGGGAGCGAACAGGAUUAGAUACCCGGGUAGUCC